UAGACCCUGAGCUGCUGCCCAUGAGUAGUUCUCACAUCUCCCCUUCACAAAAUGAGUGCACAAAGGCAUCUGGGGAGAGCCGAAGUUACUCAAGAUUUUGACAACAGAGAAUGUUGGUCAAAACCUGCAGACUGUUGUGAGGCUGGGAUGUGAAAUGCCAGGACAGUGUCCAGUUAAAAGUCCUGUGAUGAAGACACGUAAGUGCAGAAGAUGAGGAUUCUGCUCACCCAUCUCAAUUGGCACAAAUGCUCUUCAGUGUCAUGAAGGAGACAUUAAACAUGAGCUACAGACUACUGGCUGAAGAGAAGGCAUAUGGAAAAGACUUUCUGCACUACUGGAAAAAAGUGUGGUGAUGAUUCCAGAACGCAGACCAGAGGGAGAAUGAGCUGAACUCUUGCCACAUGACAGCCAAU